UACGGAGGGGGCUAGCGUUGUCCGAAGUUACUGGGCGUAAAGCGCGCGUAGGCGGGUUGGUAAGUCCGCUGUGAAAAGCCCGGAGCUUAACUCCGGAGGGUCGGUGGAGUACUGCCAGCUUGAAGGUGCUAGGGGGAGAGUGGAAUUCCUGGUGUAGCGGUGGAAUGCGCAGAUAUCAGGAGGAACACCGAUGGCGAAGGCAGACUCUGGGCGUAACUGACGCUGAGGAGCGAAAGCCAUGGGGGAGAACAGG
rnacentral:rRNA from 1 species